CUCCAAGAAUAAAUACUAUUGGCUAAUUUUGAUAGACUGGUCUCUGUCUAUUUCAUGCAAAUAAGGAUCUUACAAAUUCUUAGAAACAGACAGAAUGAUUUUAAUUGAAUUUGUUAAUGAACACGUAGGAAUUGUUAAAUUCCUUUGACAAUUUGGUCCUUCGUGCGGAUUUCCAAAAAUCUGUCCCUGUCGUCCGAAGGUACUACGCCGAAAACUGUGCACGGGCGGGUCGUUGACCCGUAAAUUAAAGUCCUGGCCCCUGAAUUGGGGUUCAAAGAACAGGCCGGUUUAUAUAUCUAAGUUCAACAGAGAUGGUGACGGAAUCUCAUGAACAUUGCUUUUCCCAGUCUACUAGACGACGGUAAAUGGUCUUUAUUCUUGAAUUUGGGGGGAAUGAUUUAAGUUAUCUUUGAUUUGAUGUUCUAAAAAUGUUUAGAAUUUAUAAAUAAUAGGAGCUUUGCUAUUCCAAACAGAUUUGGUGGGUUACUUGUAUGACCAUUAUACAAGUGUAUACAAGUUGCGCUACCACAAAUAAAAUAUCUUAAUAUAUCCGGGCCUUGCAAGCCGUGAGGGUUAUUAAGUGUGGGAUAUAGUAAGUGUUGUUAGAUAGGACGGUCGUUUUGUACAAAUAGGACAGCCAUUAUUUCAAAAGACAUACCUAAAUAAAGUCCUAACCUAAGUGGUAAAACAGGUGAGGAUAUAAACUAGGUGAGAAGGAAAGGUAAUUCUAUGCGAACGGGAUAACUGCACCUAUUCAAUACUGAAAGAAAUAAUAUCCAGAAAAGGAGGAGAGGGAAACUUAAUGUAGCGGAGUGAGAUACGAGAUAAGAGGGUACUUUAAACGUCCUCUAACACAACCCGAGGUUAACUAGGGAUGUAUGGCCCCUGGGUAAUAACUUCUAGUUGUGCAAGUGAGAUGUAAUGUCCGAUCGACAGCAACGCUAUAGAUAAAGUUUCCAGGGAAGAGAAAUCAUAGAAAUCCAUACACAUAGAUUGUAACUAGGUAAUGUUAAACAGAACAUACAUAGAUCAUAUAAAUACAUACACAUAGAUAGCGAUAAAUACCAUAGCUACUAGUAACGGCAAGGAUUUAUCAAGCAUGGGUAGUAAAUCCUCAAAGGAGGUCCCGGGAUUAACGGGAGACAAUCGUUAUAUGGAGCAGAAAGAUAAGAGAAACAUUGAUUUCUGUCCAAAAUGGAGAAAGAAGGAUGAAUUUGAUGGGAGUCUGGAUGUUGAAAAACUAGAAUUGCUUAUAAAACAGAUACAUAAGGAAUGUGGUAAGGAUGUGAAGAAGCAGAAUAAACAGAAUAAACAGGGGUUGUACACAGCUAGAGUCUGGCUUUCGGAAGCCAGGAAAAGAGUAGAAGGUGAUAAGAAAAAAAUGGUAAAGAGAGCCAAGAUACGCUGCCCUCCGCUCCCGCAGCUGAAAAAGUUAGCCAAUUGGGCGGGGGUGAGAGUCAAAAACGAUAUCCUUCUCUAGUAUACCAAGCAUACAGAGGUAAUCCUGUUGAUGAAAUAGUGCUGGUGAGGAUACGGCUGCAGGAGCUACCCGCACAACCACCACCCCCAUAUGUGGAGCUUGCUGAAGCCGAGGGAGGGAUAAUAGAGGUAGAGAAAGGAAAAAAGUUGAGAAAAGUGGAUAGGGUGAGUCAAAAGAAAAAGAGAGGGUGUUUCGAUUGCAAUAACACAGGACAUCUCGCCCGGGAGUGUAAUGCUCCCUGCAAUCAUUGUGACAGAGUAGGACAUAAUCACAGAGAUUGUAAUUUAACUAAGGGGAAGGUCAGGCGCGACAAUCGGGAGAAAAAGAGAGUCAGAAACAACGAAAGCGAGAUUAAGCUUGGACCUUUAAUUUAGGGCUAUUUUUGUUGUCUCGGUGCCGGAUUUACGAAUACAGACAAUUGUAAAGUGGGUUUAUUUGCGGAGAGUUUUAGUUAUUCACAUGGAUUUGGUGGUUCAGUGGUAGAAUUCUCGCCUGGCACGUGCGAGGCCCGGGUUCUGUUCCCAGCCAAUGCUCUUACUAAAUUUUGAGUUUUUAAUUGGAAUUCAACUAUUUGUAUGUUUUGUCUGGAAAGAUACGGUCGCUAAUGUUUGUAUAAGAUAUAAACUGAAAGUUUUAAUAGCUUGUUUGAUCAAAUUGAUAGAAGGGAUAAAUUUAACUUUUUAAUAGAUUGUUUAGGUUAAAUUGAAAGACCAAUCCAUUCUAAAUAAUAGCGGGGCGAUGUCGUUGGAAUACACUGUAUUGCCUAAAUAGCCUACUCGAAUAACGUAUUGAGUCGAAUUUAAAUGACUGAAUCAUAGAAGAGACAGUUACCUAAAUCUAAUGAAUUCUAAAUAAUAAUGAAGAUACAAUUACGAUAGAGUUGUGCCCAUUGAAAGGUUCUUACAAAUUUAGCAAAGUACAUGGUACGUUUACAUUUUGGAGUAGGGAAAGUUUGAUUUUACUUUUAAGAUAGAAUUAAAGCAAAACUCAAUCCAAAUAGGGAAUAUAUCUUUGCCAAAGAGGUAGGUUGAAUUGUUUCGUGAUAACGUAAAACUGCGUCAUUACGUUGAAUACACAAUAAUGUUACUCAAAUUGAUUUGACCGUUGUUCAGGUACACUCUUUUCUGUACUUCUGGCAGUACAAUUUUGAUUGAGAGAUGUAAGUUCUGUUCAAGAUCCAACAUUUGUGAUAAAUUGGGUUUGGUUUAUCGAACCCGUACUACUGCUGCUGCAGUUAGCCAACAAUGAUUUGCAAUUCGCUGAAAGUUGUUGCGGCUUGGGCACGGGUUGAGCGCCUGUUGCUGACAUCACUCACAAUGCACUCACAAUGCCAGGCAAUGAUGUUGUGACUGAGGGUGACAGAGAAAAUUGUUUGUAUAAUUUAGAGGGUAAAUGUGUGCAUUAUAGCUUUGAGUCACUUUUCAGAAGUUGUUAAAAGUUCCUAAUACAUGUUUAAAAGUAGCUGAAUAUCAUCAGGGUAGUCUGAAAAUAUGCUAAAACUAGCAACAAAAUUGCUAGGUGGCCAUCACUGAUUGGUGGCGUUCGCUUGGCUAUAUUUGGUUAUAAGAGAAGGAGGUCUGAAUAGUAUCGUAAAAGUUUUUUAAUAGUUCUCGGUUAUUGAUUUUGGUUUGAUUGUUUAGGUAACACCAGUGAAUUUGAACAAGCUGUUAACGUAUUCUAAAAAUGAUCUGUUUUCAUUAUGGGGAACAAUGAAAGGUCCGCAAAGUGGAUUGCAGGUUGAGUUUGUUUUAUUUUAAAGGGACAGUGCACGUUUAUCACAAUUUUGUGUGUCUAAUGGCAGGGUAUUCCGAUCAAGCAUUUUGGGGAGUCUAUUUGGAGAAAGACUGAAUGGGUUACAUGAAACAUUGAGGAAAUUUAAAACAAACGAUUUGAGGGACUACAAUAGUAUUAUCAUAAUUAUUAGGUUUUGUUUGUAGUAAACGUUUGGGUUUAAGGGAUUUCCAUGUUUCCCCAGAGACAAGAAAUCUUAAAGGGGUACACUCACAUAUGGAAUAUUAGGAGUUUUAUUUUCUGAGUUCUAAUUAAACAUGUGAAUUCUUUACAUAAAGGGUUAUUUAGUAUGUCUAAUAUAUUAUGGAACAUGACUGUAAAAGGGUGGUAUAACCUUUGACCUCUAUCAUGGCUUUCCCUUGUGGUCUGACCAGCCUCAGGGGAGGGCCAUUUGGAUAAUGAAUUUGUGGUCAUUUGUGAUACUGGUUUAAAGGUAAAUUAAUUAUAAUGGAGUUUAUAGCUCUUGGACAUAAUUAUAGUUUGAACCACAGAAGAGAAAGUGGAAUUGAGGCAGGACAAAUUAUGGAGAGCGGGGGAAUAAACUCUAGUGAGGAAGAGGUUCAGGAUUCUGUUUUAAACAUUGGCUGUGAAGGUUUUGAAUUGGCUACUAUUGAUUUGGUAGAUACAACAGGAACAAAAAUAUUUAUCAUCGAUAAUAAAUAGGGGAAGAUAUGGUACAUUGAGGUUUGGACAGGAAAUAUUUUAAGCCAAUAGGACAGGAAAAUACAUGAUAGAAAAAUAGUGAUUUUAUAAGCAUUAAAAUUAUUAAUGAAAAUAAACAUGUUGCAGUUCUUAGGGAUGGUAAAUUACUGUAGAUAAGGUAUCCCACACAAUGCAACAUAUAUUAAAUUAUUUAUGAGACUGAUUUAAAGGUUAAUCCAUGUUAUUGUUAGAUAAAAUACAGUGGACCCCUGAAGGAGAGAGCACAUUAGUAGAGAGAGAGAUAUGAUAUGGUUAGCAUUCGUUUUGGCUUUAUUUGACCAUUAGAAGAUUUUAUUUAAAUAAGUAUUAAAGUUGACAGGGAUAUAUGACAUCUGUGGUGAUUUAGGAUUAUUGAAAGGAUCGAGAUAGGUUGAUUAAGGUUAUGUAAGGACUUUAGAGAUUGCCACCAUAGACAUGUUUUUUCAAAAAUCCAUGAUUUAGAUAAAGCCAAACAGUGAGACGCUUAAGUAAUAUUUGGAAACAACAAAUAGUUGUUACUGACUGUUAUGAGAAGAAGAGCUACAGACAGAUAGGGGAAAAGGCAGACAGAGGAGCAUUCCCCGAACUGCUGAGACCGUGAAGGUUUGAGAGCAGAGAGGAGAAGGGGGGCCAGGAAAUGAGCAAUAUAGGAUAGACAUGAAUGGACCCCCGAAGGAGAAUUGGACAUGUGGGGAAUGAAAGGGGUGCUCCUACAUGAUAAUGUCAGAACACAAGGAUAAUUUACUAAUCUUACCUAAGUCAUUGUUUAGAGUAGGGAAGGUUAUUACCUGGGCAGAGCCAGGUAUCAAAGGGGGGAUGGGUAAAUUGUGGUCUAGAAUAAUAAACUAAAAAAUAAAUAAAUUCUAGUUAACAAGUAGGCAUAGAAGUUAAAGAUAUAAUCAGAUAGAACAAAUGAGAAACUUUUUGUUAACCAAACCUGUAUGUCCAAGAUUUUAUGGACUACAGGUGAAUUGUGAUUCACUCAAUCCAGUCCCUGAGGAGAAUGGACGGGAAGCAGCCCCGUUGGGCGGGGCCAUACCAAGUAUUCCUGGUGACAGCCUUCGCAGUGAGGAUAGCUGAAAGAGCUACCUGGGUACAUAUCACACAUGUGUGCUGGCCGUCCUGAACUGUCUGAUCAUGGGAGCCAUAUUCCUGAUACACCAUGAACCCCGAGAAGGCCAAAGAGGGUAACUUGACUCAUGUGCUAGAUGAGUCGAAUUUGAUAUUACCAUAGCAUCUCAAAAGGUCACUAGAACUGAAUAGUAAGGAAGGGAGAGUGAGAUUGGGAAGGAUGUCUCAGUGGAGUUCUAUGUAGACCAAAUGGGGUCUCUGACUCCUUGGCUGUCUAGGACUAUGAGCCAUUAUGAAAGAUAUCUGUGCAAGACCCUGUGUAGGUCAUGGAAACAGGUUAUAGCUCACAUCGAGAGAGGGCAACAUAAAUUCACAUACCCAGUAUGGAAGAAGAUGGAGUGUAGUGAAAGUAAGGUUUUCAGUUGAUAACCUAGUGCCAUUCCGGGUAGAAGAAGUUAGAGCAGAACACAAGCAGAGCCCCUGACAAAGCAGAUACUGACCGUGGGGUUGUCCAGAGCCAAGGGCCUGUGUGGGUAGUUCAGACAAAAAAUCUUAAGGAGGUGAUUGAGGUGGAAACUGUUCAUGAAGUCAGGGAAACCAGACAAAGACAAAGAAAAAUGUUAGGCCUGCGCCACAGCAAAACCUCAGUUGAUAAUCAUUCCCUUUCCAUUUGAUGGAAUUGAUUCACCCAGGUGAAUGUCCUGUAUGGUAAAGCUGUUCAUGAAGUCAGGGAAAC